AUGAACACUAGCUACAGGCUUAACACAUGCAAGUCGAGGGGCAGCAUGGUCUUAGCUUGCUAAGGCCGAUGGCGACCGGCGCACGGGUGAGUAACACGUAUCCAACCUGCCGUCUACUCUUGGACAGCCUUCUGAAAGGAAGAUUAAUACAAGAUGGCAUCAUGAGUCCGCAUGUUCACAUGAUUAAAGGUAUUCCGGUAGACGAUGGGGAUGCGUUCCAUUAGAUAGUAGGCGGGGUAACGGCCCACCUAGUCUUCGAUGGAUAGGGGUUCUGAGAGGAAGGUCCCCCACAUUGGAACUGAGACACGGUCCAAACUCCUACGGGAGGCAGCAGUGAGGAAUAUUGGUCAAUGGGCGAGAGCCUGAACCAGCCAAGUAGCGUGAAGGAUGACUGCCCUAUGGGUUGUAAACUUCUUUUAUAAAGGAAUAAAGUCGGGUAUGGAUACCCGUUUGCAUGUACUUUAUGAAUAAGGAUCGGCUAACUCCGUGCCAGCAGCCGCGGUAAUACGGAGGAUCCGAGCGUUAUCCGGAUUUAUUGGGUUUAAAGGGAGCGUAGAUGGAUGUUUAAGUCAGUUGUGAAAGUUUGCGGCUCAACCGUAAAAUUGCAGUUGAUACUGGAUAUCUUGAGUGCAGUUGAGGCAGGCGGAAUUCGUGGUGUAGCGGUGAAAUGCUUAGAUAUCACGAAGAACUCCGAUUGCGAAGGCAGCCUGCUAAGCUGCAACUGACAUUGAGGCUCGAAAGUGUGGGUAUCAAACAGGAUUAGAUACCCUGGUAGUCCACACGGUAAACGAUGAAUACUCGCUGUUUGCGAUAUACUGCAAGCGGCCAAGCGAAAGCGUUAAGUAUUCCACCUGGGGAGUACGCCGGCAACGGUGAAACUCAAAGGAAUUGACGGGGGCCCGCACAAGCGGAGGAACAUGUGGUUUAAUUCGAUGAUACGCGAGGAACCUUACCCGGGCUUAAAUUGCAGAUGAAUUACGGUGAAAGCCGUAAGCCGCAAGGCAUCUGUGAAGGUGCUGCAUGGUUGUCGUCAGCUCGUGCCGUGAGGUGUCGGCUUAAGUGCCAUAACGAGCGCAACCCUUGUUGUCAGUUACUAACAGGUUCCGCUGAGGACUCUGACAAGACUGCCAUCGUAAGAUGUGAGGAAGGUGGGGAUGACGUCAAAUCAGCACGGCCCUUACGUCCGGGGCUACACACGUGUUACAAUGGGGGGUACAGAGGGCCGCUACCACGCGAGUGGAUGCCAAUCCCCAAAACCUCUCUCAGUUCGGACUGGAGUCUGCAACCCGACUCCACGAAGCUGGAUUCGCUAGUAAUCGCGCAUCAGCCACGGCGCGGUGAAUACGUUCCCGGGCCUUGUACACACCGCCCGUCAAGCCAUGGGAGCCGGGGGUACCUGAAGUGCGUAACCGCGAGGAGCGCCCUAGGGUAAAACUGGUGACUGGGGCU
rnacentral:rRNA from 1 species